UACGAAGGGUGCUAGCGUUGUUCGGAAUCACUGGGCGUAAAGGGCGCGUAGGCGGCUAGAUAAGUCGGGGGUGAAAGCCUGUGGCUCAACCACAGAAUUGCCUUCGAUACUGUCUGGCUUGAGACCGGAAGAGGUUAGUGGAACUGCGAGUGUAGAGGUGAAAUUCGUAGAUAUUCGCAAGAACACCAGUGGCGAAGGCGGCUGACUGGUCCGGUUCUGACGCUGAGGCGCGAAAGCGUGGGGAGCAAACAGG
rnacentral:rRNA from 1 species